AGUGGCGCACGGGUGAGUAACACGUAAGUGACCUGUGCGUAGCACUGGGAUAACCAUUCGAAAGGAUGGCUAAUACUGGAUAAACCCACGUCCUUGGGGAUGAUGGAAAAUGAUUGGGACCUUUCGAGGCCAAUCGGCAAUGGAGGGAUUUGCGGCCCAUCAGGUAGUUGGGGGGGUAACGGCCCACCAUGCCUAACACGGCUAACUGGACUGACAGGAUGAUCGGCCACGCUGGAACUGACACACGGCCCAGACUCCUACGGGAGGCAAAUUUGUGGAAUCUUGCGCAAUGGUGAAAAGCCUGACGCACCAGCGCCACGUGGGUGAUGAAGGUCUUUGGAUCUUACAGCCCUGUCGAAGGGGAAGAUGUGCCUGCACUCGAACAAACUGUGGCUGUGACGUUACCCUCAAAGGAAGCACCGGCUAACUCUGUGCCAGCAGCCGCGGUAAUACAGAGGGUGCAAGCGUUGUUCGGAAUUAUUGGGCGUAAAGGGAGUGUACGCUGUUAAGUAAGUCUUCUGUGAAAUCUACGGUCUUACCCCGUAACGUGCAGAGGAAACUGCUUAUCUUGAGUGUCGGAGAGGAUAGGGGAAUACUCGGUGUAGAGGUGAAAUUCGUAGAGAUCGGGUGGAACACCAGUGGCGAAUGAGCCUAUCUGGCUGACAACUGACGCUGAAACUCAUA
rnacentral:rRNA from 1 species